rnacentral:rRNA from 1 species
UACAGAGGGUGGCAAGCGUUGUUCGGAAUUAUUGGGCGUAAAGCGCGUGUAGGCGGCGUGACAAGUCGGGUGUGAAAGCCCUCAGCUCAACUGAGGAAGUGCGCCCGAAACUGUCGUGCUUGAGUGCCGGAGAGGGUGGCGGAAUUCCCCAAGUAGAGGUGAAAUUCGUAGAUAUGGGGAGGAACACCGGUGGCGAAGGCGGCCACCUGGACGGUAACUGACGCUGAGACGCGAAAGCGUGGGGAGCAAACAGG